rnacentral:rRNA from 1 species
UACGGAGGGUGCAAGCGUUAUCCGGAUUCACUGGGUUUAAAGGGUGCGUAGGCGGGUAGGUAAGUCCGUGGUGAAAUCCUGCAGCUUAACUGCAGAACUGCCGUGGAUACUAUCUAUCUUGAAUGCCGUGGAGGUGAGCGGAAUAUGUCAUGUAGCGGUGAAAUGCUUAGAUAUGACAUAGAACACCAAUUGCGAAGGCAGCUCACUACACGAAUAUUGACGCUGAGGCACGAAAGCGUGGGGAUCAAACAGGAUUAGAAACCCUGGUAGU